rnacentral:rRNA from 1 species
CCCUUAGAUGUUCUGGGCCGCACGCGCGCUACACUGAUCAGUGCAACAAGCAUCCGUCCUUGGCCGACAGGCCCGGGCAAUCUUUGAACGCUGAUCGUGAUGGGGAUAGACUUUUGCAAUUUUUGGUCUUCAACGAGGAAUUCCUAGUAAACGCAAGUCAUCAACUUGCAUUGAUUACGUCCCUGCCCUUUGUACACACCGCCCGUCGCACCUACCGAUUGAAUGGUCCGGUGAAAUCUCGGGACGGCGGCUUGGUCGCUUGCGUCCGACUGCUGAAACUUGAUUAAACCAUAUCAUUUAGAGGAAGGUGAAGUCGUAACA